UACGUAGGGUGCGAGCGUUAAUCGGAAUUACUGGGCGUAAAGCGUGCGCAGGCGGUCUGUUAAGACCGAUGUGAAAUCCCCGGGCUUAACCUGGGAACUGCAUUGGUGACUGGCAGGCUUUGAGUGUGGCAGAGGGAGGUAGAAUUCCACGUGUAGCAGUGAAUGCGUAGAGAUGUGGAGGAAUACCGAUGGCGAAGGCAGCCUCCUGGGCCAACACUGACGCUCAUGCACGAAAGCGUGGGAGCAAACAGG
rnacentral:rRNA from 1 species